CGCUGCUCGUCCGGUGGCUCGCC
rnacentral:piRNA from 1 species